rnacentral:rRNA from 1 species
AGUGAACGCUGGCGGUAGGCCUAACACAUGCCAGUCGAACGGCAGCACAGUAAGAGCUUGCUCUUACGGGUGGCGAGUGGCGGACGGGUGAGGUAUACAUCGGAAUCUACUUUUUCGUGGGGGAUAACGUAGGGAAACUUACGCUAAUACCGCAUACGACCUACGGGUGAAAGCAGGGGAUCUUCGGACCUUGCGCGAUUGAAUGAGCCGAUGUCGGAUUAGCUAGUUGGCGGGGUAAAGGCCCACCAAGGCGACGAUCCGUAGCUGGUCUGAGAGGAUGAUCAGCCACACUGGAACUGAGACACGGUCCAGACUCCUACGGGAGGCAGCAGUGGGGAAUAUUGGACAAUGGGCGCAAGCCUGAUCCAGCCAUACCGCGUGGGUGAAGAAGGCCUUCGGGUUGUAAAGCCCUUUUGUUGGGAAAGAAAAGCAGCAGGUUAAUACCCCGCUGUUCUGACGGUACCCAAAGAAUAAGCACCGGCUAACUUCGU